rnacentral:ncRNA from 1 species
CUAUGACUUAACUAGUCAUGGCGGAAGGAG